ACGAGCAUCCUUAUAAGUAAAGGAGGGCACAGGAAGUCGGAGAAGCUGCCUCUAGAAGCUAAAAAAUGCGAGAAAAUGGACUCUCCCCUAGAGACCCCAGAAAGGAAUGCAGCUCUGCUGAUACCUUGAUUUUAGCCCCGUGAUGCUCAUCUUGGACUUCUGACCUCCAGAACUGACACAAACCAUGUGAUUGAAAAUGAAGAAUUCAGUCAAAUCAACUGUCUGUUGUCUCAAGACCUAUAUGUAAAUACAGCACCUGGAGAAAUAUGGUUUCUGACUGCCACCUGGAAUUCAUGGUUUCUGAUGAGAAAUUAGUUGUAAUCUUAUUGAUGAUCUCAUAUAUGUG